GAGAAGAAUUUCAUCCAGGACAGAAAAGUGAAUCACCAGAACAACUGAUGGAUAUGCCAGAAUACCUCUGGUGUGCUCACUGUCAUGCACACAAAAUUUCCUGCCUCUUUCAUGGUCCUAGGAGUCGUAAGCAGUGAAGGUGACAUCAUGGUGCCACACUUCUUCAAGAAGAGUUUGAGGAUGACUGCAGAAAGUUACAUCAAUGUGCUAGAGACAGUUGUGAAGGCCAGGAUGGAGAAAGUGACUACUGAGAGGGAUUACAUAUUCUAUCGACUUGGCUCCAGCUCACAAGGCAAAGAAGACCCAGGCCUAGCUUUUCAGUAACCUGCCCUGAUUUGUG
rnacentral:lncRNA from 1 species